rnacentral:sRNA from 1 species
ACACUAUUCCACUUUCCCGCUGGAGGCGCAGAGGAUGCCCCUUGAGCCAGACCUGGAGAAAUAGCCCCAGGGCCCGGCAGGAGGAGCCUUGGUGGCGAGAAAGGAAAUCCAGGCUCCUCUUUCCUUAAAGCCACUGCAGCAGCUGGGAAGGCGCCCACAGAGCGGGCGCGCCAAGCGGGACGCGGGAGUCGCAGAGAGGGACCCGAGGCGCCUGCUGAGCUCCGCUGGCAGAGUUUGCAAGUGGCAGACCCUUCAGGUUCCGCCUACCAUGCCCCAGGCACUGUUCUCAGGACAUCACAUACACUGGCUCAUGUGAUGUUCUCAACAACCCUAAGAGGAGGCAUCCCUGAGUCCUGAUGCCUGACUGGAUGGAGGCCCACCAGCUUCUGUUCCCAUGAGGUAGAAAGGCCAAGCUUGGUAUUCAGCUGGGGAAGAGGCCAGAAACGAGGCCCCCAGUGAAAUAACCCAGAUCCAUUGGCCUGAGGAGCAGAGAAAGAGCAAGAAGUGAACUGCAGCUGCUGGUAACCCUCAGAAACCUUCUCCAAUUGCU